rnacentral:snRNA from 1 species
GCUGUGACAUCUGUCAUCCCAUUAAUCACCAGGGUUGAUUCCAUUGAUGUGGCUGGCUAGGUGGAUGUCCC